rnacentral:rRNA from 1 species
CCAGACUCCUACGGGAGGCAGCAGUGGGGGAUAUUGGACAAUGGGGGAAACCCUGAUCCAGCGACGCCGCAUGAGUGAAGAAGUAUUUCGGUAUGUAAAGCUCUAUCAGCAGGGAAGAAAAAAGACGGUACCUGACUAAGAAGCCCCGGCUAACUACGUGCCAGCAGCCGCGGUAAUACGUAGGGGGCAAGCGUUAUCCGGAUUUACUGGGUGUAAAGGGAGCGUAGACGGCAUGGCAAGUCUGAAGUGAAAGCCCGGGGCUCAACCGCGGGACUGCUUUGGAAACUGUUAAGCUGGGGUGCAGGAGAGGUAAGUGGAAUUCCUAGUGUAGCGGUGAAAUGCGUAGAUAUUAGGAGGAACACCAGUGGCGAAGGCGGCUUACUGGACUGUAACUGACGUUGAGGCUCGAAAGCGUGGGGAGCAAACAGGAUUAGAUACCCGAGUAGA